UGGGGAAUUUUGGACAAUGGGGGAAACCCUGAUCCAGCCAUCCCGCGUGUGCGAUGAAGGCCUUCGGGUUUUAAAGCACUUUUGGCAGGAAAGAAACGUCAUGGGUUAAUACCCCGUGAAACUGACGGUACCUGCAGAAUAAGCACCGGCUAACUACGUGCCAGCAGCCGCGGUAAUACGUAGGGUGCAAGCGUUAAUCGGAAUUACUGGGCGUAAAGCGUGCGCAGGCGGUUCGGAAAGAAAGAUGUGAAAUCCCAGAGCUCAACUUUGGAACUGCAUUUUUAACUACCGGGCUAGAGUGUGUCAGAGGGAGGUGGAAUUCCGCGUGUAGCAGUGAAAUGCGUAGAUAUGCGGAGGAACACCGAUGGCGAAGGCAGCCUCCUGAGAUAACACUGACGCUCAUGCACGAAAGCGUGGGGAGCAAACAGG
rnacentral:rRNA from 1 species